rnacentral:rRNA from 1 species
AGCGAACGCUGGCGGCAGGCCUAACACAUGCAAGUCGAACGAAGUCUUCGGACUUAGUGGCGGACGGGUGAGUAACACGUGGGAACGUACCUUUUGGUUCGGAACAACUCAGGGAAACUUGAGCUAAUACCGGAUGAGCCCUUAGGGGGAAAGAUUUAUCGCCGAAAGAGCGGCCCGCGUUAGAUUAGCUAGUUGGUGAGGUAAAGGCUCACCAAGGCUACGAUCUAUAGCUGGUCUGAGAGGAUGAUCAGCCACACUGGGACUGAGACACGGCCCAGACUCCUACGGGAGGCAGCAGUGGGGAAUCUUGCGCAAUGGGCGAAAGCCUGACGCAGCCAUGCCGCGUGAAUGAUGAAGGUCUUAGGAUUGUAAAAUUCUUUUACCAGGGACGAUAAUGACGGUACCUGGAGAAAAAGCCCCGGCUAACUCUGUGCCAGCCGCCGCCGUAAAAC